UCUCGUCCAGUCCAUUCUUCUUCUCUUUGCUAACAUUUAAGCCUAACAUUUCGUUCGUCAACUCGAAUGGUUUGCUAACAUCAUUCUUAUCGAUGAUCUCGGUUUUUAUGUUGAUCGGCUCGUAGAUAGCUGGUGUGUGAUUGUAACCGGACAGUUGCGCCUUGUACGGUAUGUUCUGGUUCCCGGUUAUCAGGGAAACCCCCAAUUGGUUUUGUAUCACGUUCGCUGCUGUUUGGGCACUCGGCGGACUGGUGGUGUUCGUAGGCGAGUAGGGUAUCAGGCUAUCGCUUAAUGGCGAAUGAGGUGGCGACGCAUAAAUCGGGCUCUGUGGUUCACUUUUCAAGGGCGACAAAAGUUUGCUGAGCGGUCUGCUUUUCGCUCCUCUCGAGCAUUGUUGUAGUUGUUGCGUGAAAGAUAAUGGUGUCUAAAAUUAUAGGAGUCAGAUAACGGUCUGGUCUUUCGUGUAAUCUGUGAUCAUAGCGUGUAUAGAUCGAGUUGAUUUCUACGAAGCAUAUGUGAACAAGGUUCUCGUUUGUUGAGAGUGGCUUAAAGUGUGUAUGAGGUGCGAGCGAAUGUGUUGUUACCAAAGUGAAACAAAUUUUUUCAUGGUAAGGAUAAGAAACGAUCUGUACACGAGUGCAUGAAAUAGAAUGAACAAAGCAUGCAGCGGUUAAUGAAACGUGUGAUGGAUGAGCUGAUUGGAAGUGGUAUCGGAACUUGAGAAUUCUUCAAGUGCAGUUAUGAGUUAAUGGUAAAAGCAUUAGAAACGUUUGGUUUACCUACUUUUAUUACCUGAUUCACCAUUGAGUUUUGGUUGAAUUUUCCUUGAUCGCUCUUCGUGCUGCCUGUUAAGUUGCUGCUCGAUUUACUGUUGCUAGAGUUAUUGCCCAGGGAGACGCAGCUUCUUCUCUUCGUUGAAUCUGGCGAUUCUGCAGGACUGUACUGCGUAGAGAGAGGAUUCAGAAUCGCAGACGAUGGUUUUGUUUCUGCUGUUGAAUUGGAGGUAACCGAAGUAGCACUACUACUUCCACCUGCAUCAGGAGAAAUUUAAAAGGUGCACUUCGAAAAGAAGAAGCAAACGAACCUUUGCAUAGCCAUGAUUGGAAGGGACACACAAAGCAGCGACACUGAGGGCUGUUCUACCGUCGCUAUCAGCAUGAUCGAUCUCUGCACCAAAGUCUAGAAGGUGUUCGACUAUCUCACUGUGACCCAUGUAGGCAGCAGCAAUUAAAGCGGUUCUGCCUUCGUCAUCCGUUCUGUUGACGUCGGCGCCGUGCUGCAGAAGUGCUUUAACGAUGUCUUCGUGGCCACCCCACGCAGCUGCUCUCAGCGCCGUUCGUUGAUCCCAGUCAGCGCAAUCCACUAUCGCACCAUGCUCCAACAGCAUUUCGACCACCUACACGUGAUUAUGCUGCGGCUCUGAGGGCGGUCCAACCAUCACAGUCUGCAUGAUCCGCACACGCACCGGCAGCCAGAAGCACACGAACCACAUCUGCGUAGCCGUGUCUGGCAGCUAAGUUCAACGGUGUCUGCCCGUGACGGUCCGUAGCUUCCAGUUUUGCCUGAAAGCGUGAGAAAUUCUUAACGCGUUACGGUGGCUGGAGUUACGCUCGAUUAUUGGUUCUGGUCUAAUUUCAUUUCAAUGUUCUUGACAGAAGAGUUUAUUACGUUGGUAAAUGGUAAUUCACCUGUGGGCAGGUUGUUAAAGCCAACUCCAACAAAGACGCAUUGCCAUCUGCAGCGAGUGUGUGCAGCACUGUUCGCCCGCAAGAGUCUGUUUGAUUGAUGUCCCCGCUCUCGCCAAGUAGUUCUGUUAACGGUUCGCUGGGAGAUUCGUCCAUCGGGCUAACAUCUUGCGAGACCUUUUACAACACGACAAGGUAAUCAUUGUUCUACUUAAUUACACUUCGUACAAAUCGCUAAACAAGCAAAGAUUAACGAAGGAUUAAAAAAGGUACUUACGGUCUGUAAGAGAGAACGAUUACGAUAAAUAUAAAAAGAGCGACGAUCG